rnacentral:rRNA from 1 species
AAUAUUUGACAAUGGGCGCAAGCCUGAUCCAGCCAUGCCGCGUGAGUGAUGAAGGCCUUAGGGUUGUAAAGCGCUUUCACCGGUGAAGAUAGUGACGGUAGCCGGAUAAGAAGCCCCGGCUAACUUCGUGCCAUCAGCCGCGGUAAUACGAAGGGGGCUCGCGUUGUUCGGAAUUACUGGGCGUAAAGCGCACGUAGGCGGAUCGGUCAGUUAGGGGUGAAAUCCCAGGGCUCAACCCUGGAACGGCCUUUAAUACUGCCGGUCUUGAGUUCGAGAGAGGUGAGUGGAAUUCCGAGUGUAGGGGUGAAAUUCGUAGAUAUUCGGAGGAACACCAGUGGCGAAGGCGGCUCACUGGCUCGAUACUGACGCUGAGGUGCGAAAGCGUGGGGAGCAAACAG